AGCGAACGCUGGCGGCAGGCUUAACACAUGCAAGUCGAACGGGCAUAGCAAUAUGUCAGUGGCAGACGGGUGAGUAACGCGUGGGAACGUACCUUUUGGUUCGGAACAACACAGGGAAACUUGUGCUAAUACCGGAUAAGCCCUUACGGGGAAAGAUUUAUCGCCGAAAGAUCGGCCCGCGUCUGAUUAGCUAGUUGGCAGGGUAAUGGCCUACCAAGGCGACGAUCAGUAGCUGGUCUGAGAGGAUGAUCAGCCACAUUGGGACUGAGACACGGCCCAAACUCCUACGGGAGGCAGCAGUGGGGAAUAUUGGACAAUGGGCGAAAGCCUGAUCCAGCCAUGCCGCGUGAGUGAUGAAGGCCCUAGGGUUGUAAAGCUCUUUUGUGCGGGAAGAUAAUGACGGUACCGCAAGAAUAAGCCCCGGCUAACUUCGUG
rnacentral:rRNA from 1 species